AAAAGUUCAUAUUUCAUACAUUAUUGUGAAGUGAAACCGAAAGGCCAUGUUUUUGACAUACUGAAUAUCAUACUAAUAUGAUCUGGCCUUUACAAACAUAUUUACAUACAUCUUAUUUCAUACAUGGAAGAAUCCAUCUUGACUUAUACAUUUUGUUAAAGAGUUAAAAAAUUGUAUUCUGUGUCAAGUAUUAAGUAAGUCAUGAUGGCAAUGGCAGAAACUGUAGCAGUACCUCUGGCCUUACCUUAUAUUGAUGAUCGAUUGUAUACAGUUCAAGAGUAAUGUGUCUUCUAAAAUAAUCUUAAUGAAACAGGUUAUGGCUCAUUUUCUUGCAUUGUUUUUCAUUAAAUGAAAUUUCUUUAACAGUACUGAUGUUUCUAAUACUUCAGUGGGUGUACUGUAACUAACUAAUGUGUGUAAUAACUAAUGCAGUGUAAUAACUGCUUUUGUUCAUUUCAGGUGCAGAAACUUGAGGCUGUCGGAUACAAGCCAAUUUUAUUUAUUGGGAAACAGGACAAAAGGACUUCAAAUAAGUGGGUGGCAGAUAUUAUCACGCAUCUGCACCCCACUCCUGUCACCAAAGUGUUUUUGGAGAAGAUGCGGAGGGCUUAUGAGUUUAUCUUAACAAAAGCAACCUCCACAGCACAGCAGCCGGAGAGCGUCGCCGCGGAGCAGCCGGAGAGCCUCACCAAGCAGUCUGAAACUGUGUUUGUUCUCAAUCUUGUUCCUGUGUCUUGCUCGCUCUCUCCAACCUCUCUCUCUCUCCUCCUUCCUCUGCUACUUCUACAACUAUUCUUCCCUCACUUUCUUCCCCUCUUCCACCUCCACUGCGGCAGAGGAAAAGAAGGUUAAACACCUUUACCGCGUCUCUCGUACCCUGUUUCUCCUCCAUAUCCAUCUGCCUCUUCCAUUUCCAAGCCUUUGAGUCCGGAGGUGCCACUGGUAAAGAACAGAAGAAAAGGUUGUCAAAAAUGUAGUAGGCAGAAGGUUUUCCUUUUUGAUAAAAUAACUGGGGAACGAAUAAAUGAGGGGAAAGCUGAAUUGAAAGUUCACUGGUUGCCUUGCACUGUGUGUGGCAAAACCUGGGAUGACACAUGGGAGCCUGCGAGUGAAUUCCAACACAUUGUGCCAAAGUCCCCACAUCCCAACCAGCUUUCAGCAUGACAACAUAGUCACCAUAGACACCUGGACUCAUCAAGCACCCUUCAAUGCAGUUUAUUUUUGAGUGUUUUUGCUUGCUGUUUGUU